rnacentral:rRNA from 1 species
UACGUAGGGCGCAAGCGUUAUCCGGAAUUAUUGGGCGUAAAGAGCUCGUAGGCGGUUUGUCGCGUCUGCCGUGAAAGUCCGGGGCUCAACUCCGGAUCUGCAGUGGGUACGGGCAGACUAGAGUGCGGUAGGGGAGAUUGGAAUUCCUGGUGUAGCGGUGAAAUGCGCAGAUAUCAGGAGGAACACCGGUGGCGAAGGCGGGUCUCUGGGCCGUAACUGACGCUGAGGAGCGAAAGCGUGGGGAGCGAACAGG